ACUGAAGUGAGGAAUUGGCAAAAAGAUUACAAGAAGAAGAGAUGAGAGAACAGGACAAUCAAAGGCCACAGCAGGAAGUUCCCCAACAUAAUACAAGAAACAGAUCUAGGGAUUGUAUCAUCUUAUGAUUAACUGGUAUUCAAGACAUCUUUAAACUGCUUCUGAGAAGUGCUUUCUGGUGGCCUUAAACAGACUUAAAUAGUCAAGAAAAACCCUAUGAAACUAUGAAAAAAUAUAUAACCCGAUAAUCUGCAUAUUUUGAUUACGAUUUUCAGUUCUUAGACAUAGUUCAAAGUAGUGUAUUUUCGAUAUUUGGCAAUAUUCGUACAUAUAUUCUUUUUUUAUGAAGCAGUAUUAGAUUUUCUAAAGCUUGAAGUAGCAUGUAUUAGUACGUUAAGGAUUUUAUUCAUUGUCUUGUUCAUUUAAUGCAAAUAGUUUCCAUGUAUGUGCUAUUAAAAUAUGUUAUCAAGAUCUGAAUGCAUGGACAUGUAUUCAUAUUUAUGUGGCUGUACAUGUUCGUAACUAUGUGUGUGUGUGUACAUAUAUAUAUUUUCAGUGUAAAAGUGUUUCAUGAUUUCUCUGCCUUAUUAAUUGUUGGAACAAUAUUGAUUGUGAUAAUGUGUGUUUAUAAAAUAGUGGUAAAAAUUAAGUAUUUAUUCAUUCUUUUAUAUUUUCAUAUUAAAUAUAUUUUCUGUUGAUCUAGAGCUUUAAAUCAUGUUGCGAAUAUGACUAGAUUAUAUAUUUACUUCUGAUAAUUAAAAUUUCAGAUACUGUGCAAAUUUUUGUGUUGUACAAAAACACAUAUAUAUAUAUACUAAAACUAUUUUUGUAUUGUGAUCUUAUGUUGCGUGUUUUAAAAUCUUUAAAUAUGUCGGACAAGAAUUUUUUUUUUUUUUUUUUUACUUUCUUAGUUCUUUUGGUUUUUGUAUUUUUCUUCCUUUAUAUAUUAAAAAAAAUUAGAAUUCAGUACCUGAUAUGAAUGAUAGUUCAACUGCUUAUGUUUAAAAAACCUGCCUAAAAUUUUCUAACUUUAAUAACAUCUGUGGUAAGUAAUAUAAAAUAUUUGAAGAUGAAAACAUUUUAUCAUGAAACUUUUAUAUUUAUGUAGUGUAGAUAAAACAUUAAAAUUUUAUAAUGUUUCAAAACUAAUUAGGACCUCACAGUUUUAUUUCAUAAAGUACAGGAGUUUUGAGUCAGAAAAGGUUAACUUAUAGCAAAUGAUGCUGAUUUAAUAUGUAAUUUUAAAAGGAUUGUGCUAAUAAUAAUAGAAAUAAAGAGUAAUGUGCAUAUUUCCCACAUAUUCUGACAAAUACUUUGCAUGAUUAGUAACACAAUAUUGUAUAAUGUAGCUAUAUUUGUACUUUUUUAAAUGCUGUAUCAGAAGUAAAAAUAACAAAAAACUUCGAGACAAUAAAUUUAUUCUUUAUAAACUAUUUCUGUUCUUGGAAAUGACAAAAAUAUUGUUCAGAAUUAUUGAAGAUAAUUUAUAAAGCUGAAAUAGUAUACAAUAAUCUGUUUUAUUUUGUAUUUAUAUUGUAGCUUUCAUGUUAAUUGCCAUUUCAGGUAGCAAUUAUGUUUUCAAAGAAAAUGGUUUUUAAAGGCAUCUACUGUUUAAUUUUUAUAUUUGGUUUUGAAUUUUACAGAUAUGCUUAUUUCAAGUUUUCUUAUAUUAGAUAUAUAUAAUUAAGGGAUUUGGUAUAUAUUUCUUAUAUGUAAUUAAGAGAUGGAUUUUUGUCACAAUUGUUAACUAGUGAUAGUUUCAUAGUAAGUGAUUGUUAAAUUAAGGAAUGCAAGUAUCUCUGAUAUUACUACUACUACAGUGGUACUUAUUGCAUGUAAGAGUAGAAGAAAAUUGUUAAAACUGUCCUAUCAGGUGUGAGCCCCAAUAUCUUCAUUUUCAAAUGUGUUUUCGUAGCACAUGAAGUUAAUUAUAUAAUUCUGUACGUAGCAAUUAAUAUAAAAGCAACAUAACUGAAAACUCUUUAUAUAUUAUUUAUUUAUUCUUUAUUUAUUACCAAAUAUGAAACAAAAGAGAAUUUACUUUGCAAGCUUAAGUCAUGUAAAUAACCUUUAUUUCGUCUAGACAGAAAUUGUACCAUCAGAAAUUAUUCAAAUUCUAAGAAACCAUUUUUAUGAAUAAAAAAUAAGAUAUAAUAAACUCAAUUUAAAAAAUUGACAAGAAAAGGAAACAAAAUUAUGGGAAAAAUUUAUUUGUAUUAAAAUAUAACUUUAUUAAAUGAAAUGAAGUGUACCCUUUCACAUGGGCAGAAGAAAUUUUUAAUAUAAUUAAGGCACAAAAUAUUGAUAAAUGGAUUAAAAGACAGUGAAAAAGCAAGGUAAAUCAACAGUCUUGUGAGCCAGGUAUAAUGUACAGAGCAGCUGUUGAGCCAUAAUAUAAUGUAUGUAUAGCAAGUUUAGUCACGGAAAAGGAAAGUACAAAUUGAAAUGAAAGGUAAUGUAAAAUUUCAGGGAAUAAUAAAUAUUAUAUAAGAAGAUGUAAAAGACAUGAUGUGUCUUAAUAUAUUACAGUUAAUGUAGAUGUCAAAUGUAUUAUUUUUUUUUAGUAUAUGUUUGAAAUUGGAAUCAAUAUAAACUUUUUAAAGUAUAUGAUGAAGUAUUCAGAACAGUUUCUGUAAUGAAAUUGAAGAAUAUGUAAUGAUAAAUACUGAAGUAAAAUAUGUAUAGUUUUCAUUUUAACACUAAAUUUCUCUUAACUAUAGCACAAUAUAGUAAACUGGUGCUUUAAAAGUAAAAAAUAUAUAAAUUUAAAGUAAGAUUUUAAAAUUCUUCGAAGUAAAAUCCAGUAUUCAGUUAUGCUUUUCCUUUUUGCUUAAUAGGAACAGUUGUUUAAUUGUUUUGUAUCUUGAGAAAGUAAUAUUUUUUAAAUGCAGAAAUCUAUUUUUUGAGAAGUACAUGCUUAUAAAUUAGACGUGUUGCUUGAGUUUGGUUUGUUUGAUUAUGGCAAAGCCCUAGAGGGCUAUCUGCCUAAGGGGGAGAAGUGCCUUCAUGGAACAUUUUCUGAGAGAAACUGGCUCGUAUCCAUGUUGCGCAUGUAGAAGACCGUCGAGAGUUACAUGAAAGUUUGCAGAAAAUGCUAUUUAAAAAUGGAAACAUGUUCUCCAAUUUAUUUAUAAAGAUAACUGUUAGUUUCUAAAACACAUCUCCAGAUUUUUUUUACACCACUAAAUUUAAUAUGAUUACUGCUGAUUGUGUGCUGGUAUGUGAAGUGGUCUUAUCUAAUAGCUAGUUCUGCCUGUGUGUGGUGAAAUAUAUGUUAACACAUUGUUUUCACACUAAUUGGUAUUGUGCCUUAAAUGUAUGUAGUUGUAAAGGCAUGGUAGUAAAUGCAUUAAAUUCAACACUUUUCUUUUUGUUUAACAUUUUUCAUGUAAAUUUUUUCACAAUAUGAACAACAUAAGAGACAAUUUAUCAGGGCCUUUUUAACCUAAACAAGCAAGAAAUGACUGUUAACAAAUAAAGAAUUUGCAAAAUAUUUAGAAGACAGUUUAUCAGAUGGAUGUGUGAGUGAACAGUUUCUCGAGUAAAGAAGAAUGUGUUUCUUACAGAGAUGAUUCUGAAUUACUCUAUAAUGUUAUGUAUAUGAAGAAAAUAAUGCAGAAUUUUUUAUGCGACAAGAAUCUGUUAUGCUAGGAAAUGUGAUUUGGAAUGCCAAGCCAACAUCUGUGAAGUUUUUUAUAUGUACUGUGAUAGCAAUUGUAUUAAAAAUCAGAUUUAAUGAUUUUGAAAUAUCAAAAUGGCAAAUUUAAGAGCUUAUGACAUCAGAAAAAGCACGUGAUUUGUUAAAUCUCAUGUAAUGCUAGCAUUAAAAGUAACAUGAUUAAAGCCUCGAGUUUAUCAAAGUUACAAUAAAGAUGUUAUAUUUAUUUAACAGCCUACAAAUGUUUAUUUCAUGAUGCUUUGGAAGAAACAGUAUUAUUAAAAACUGCACAAUUUUAUUUAAUUGUGCUUAGUUUAAAUAAUCAUCAUUGAUUUUUUUAAAUGAUUAUUUUAUUCUUUAAUUAAACAUUGAUACAUUGUCAUUUCCAAAAUUGAUAAAAAUUGGUCUAAUUAUUAAAAUUAUAUGCACCUUCAAAUGGAAUUUUGAAGCUCAUAUAUGCAACUAUGUCCGUACUGCUGUAUUUGUGAAAGCCUUUUAAUCUUUCAGCAUUUGUUAUCUCUGAAGUUAAAACUAUUGUUAAAUAAUGUCUUAAAUGUUUUAAUUUAUAAAAUUGUAUGUAUUAGACUUUGUGCCUUUUCCUCUAAUUCUUUGUUACAUUUGCCAUAGUUCCCUCAUUUUCCCAUUGUGUCAUGUGUGUGUGUGUGUAUUUAUUGAAUGUAGUAACUACAGCUGUAUUUUUUUCUAUAGUCUUUUCUGAGAUGUUAAAUUUUAUCCAAAGUUUUAAACUUAGACUAGAGUUUAAAAAUUUUUAAUGCAUUGAAUUUCCAUUAUCAUGCAGUUCCUCCAUUUUUUUUAAAUCUGUUAAAAUGAAAUAUUGAUAUUAUCAUGUUUUUGCUGUUUUAUGUUUUCUCAAUAGGUGCUCAUAAAGACUGUGAAAUCAUACGAGUUAUGUUGAGUCUCAUGCUUCUAGGUAAUUGUAGAAUAGCUACUGGGCUUGACAAUGAUAAUGAAAUUUCAUGAUAUGGUCAGUAAUAUGUAUGUCAAGUCGUAUAGUGCCUGUAAGCUUUCUUCAUAUGAUACAUAUAAAAUGUUCUAGUAUUCUUUGAAUUUGUCGUGUGCAUUAAAAAAUGAAUUUUGUUUUGUAAUUUUUCUUUAUCAAAUAUCUGCCUAAGGUUAAUACUACCUGAAGUAUUGGCCAUGAAGUAAAAUGAAAGCUUUAAUUUUUGCCAUAUUUCAUUUAUCUAGUUAAGGGCAGAGGAAAUUAAAUUAGUAAUUUGUUGUCUGUUAACAUGUGUUGCAUAAUAGACAUCAAAUUAAUCUGUACUUCGUAGAAAUGAGUGAAUGGUUUUACAUAGAAUGUGAAUUCAUCUUAUUUUUGUUUGAUUUUUAAUGCUAAUUGUAAUUAAUAAUUUGUUGUGUAUUGAUAGUAGUUUAAUUUCAAUGGGAAAAUUUUAGAAAAAAUUCAAAAGCUAUUAGAAAUCUUAUCUUCAGGUAUUUUUUAAUUUUCUCCCCUUAAUUUAAAAUUAUGAAAAUUGUAAAUCCUGAAUAAGAUAAUCUUUCAGGAUUUUUGUCACAAGUUAUUUUAUUCCAAAUAUUAUUUUUGCAGAAAUAUUAUAUGUAAAUAAUUGAAUGUUCAGUAUUUAUAAAAGAUGUUUAUAUAUUUCUUUAUAUCUGCCACUGCCCAAUUUUUAAUGAAGCAAUCUUUUACUGCUUGAAAAUAGUACAUAUGUGUAUAUGUAUAUAUAUAUCAAUUUUGUAAAUUAAUAUGCAACGUAAGUUUUCUAAUUUGAAGAAGCACAAUUUGUCACAAAGUAUUGAAAAUUAUUAUUUGCAGUGAUAUGUAUAUAUUUUAUCCUUUAUUAAAAGUACUGUCUUUCCUAAUUAUUUUUUAAAAGUAUAAUAUAUGAACAAGCAUUAUGUUGCUGUAUAAAAUGCUUGGCUUUUUUCAUGUGUGUGCAUUCCAGAAUUAUAUGUCUGUCUGUAUGAAAAUAUUAAAUUUUUUAAUGUGUCAUGCUAUAGCAUUCUUUUAAUUUUCUCUUGCUCUAUGUAUAGUUUAUGUUUUCACUGUACAAAUAUUUUUUUUCAAAAUAUGUUGAAUUUACAUAAUCAAUCAUAUAUUAAAAUUUAUUAAUAAUUAUCUUAUUUAUUUUCUAAUAGAUGUUUAAAAUGGUAUCAGUAUUUCACUGUGAAGGGUGAUAGGUAUAUUGCAGAGUUGCUAAUUGUUUUGGAAUCAUUAUAAAACAUUUUGAUGUUAGAAAGGUUUCUAGCUUAGCAUUUUUCACAGCCAGCUCAUUACACUAUCACAGUAUUUAUCCAUGUAACCUGGCAAUUGUUUCCACUCUAUGAGGCAUAAGAUCUUUAAUUUAUCAUCGACACUGCAGGGCAGACUGUUAAUUCUUGGUGUUGCCAUCUGACUCUUUAUAAGUUUGAUGUAACAAAAACUUCAUAUUAUACCUAUUUAAUGUUUAACUAAGGGAUUUAAAAGCAAUGUGUAUACUUCAUAAUCAUCUGUAUCUUUGUUUUGUUUGAAUAAUUCAUACAUAUAAUACAUAUGAUUUACAAUUUUCAUAAGUUAUAAAGUUUGAACCAUUAUUGUAAUUAAUGAAAUGUGUUUCUAAUGCCAUAUAUGAUUUAGCUUUGUACAUAAUAAUUUACAUCCACAACUAACAAAAAGGUUUUAAAUAGUAACAAAAAUAAUAAUAUUUUAUAAGUAUCCCCCCCCCUCCCCACAGUUCUUGGUUAUAGAAGCAUGGUAUAAUGCACGUAAAAGCAGAAAUUUUUCACUUUAUGCCAUCAUGCAGUGAAGUAAUAAACUUUGCAUAUAUAAAUGGCAACAGUAUAGUGGCAGAAUAAAUUGUAUAAAUUUGCUUGGCUGUUCUGUCAUGAGCUAUGCAUGCUUUCAUGGUUUAUAGAAAUAUUUCAAACAAUAUAAUCAAUUAAACUCAAAGAUAUUAACAUGUGUUCAGUUUUAUUGAAUUUUUAUAUCAAUCAAAUAAUCAUAUAUUUUAUUCAAACAUAUCACUGACAGAGACGAAAAUCAUGUCAAAUUUCUAAGUGUGUAACGCAUGCAAAUCUUAAAAAUGAUGAAAAGUUAUUUUGUAUAAAGGCCUUUUUUUUUUAUUAUUAUUUCAUGAUAGGACUGUAUGUUGAGAUGGUUUUUGAUAUGGUUACUUACUUGUGGAGCAAAUUUAUAGAAAAAGAAAGCCUGUGAUUGCCAGUUGUGCUCUUAUGUAUGUGCUAGCGAGACUUGACUCCAAAAAAUUGUUGUUUUAACUAAUUUAUGUGAGCUGGUCUUAUUUUUUCAGACAGAUUUCUUAGGUACUGUAAUAUUGUCAAAAUGUAAAUGGCAACAGUUGUUCAAGAAAGAUUUAAGCAGUUAUGUAAUAUUAUUGUGAAUGUUAAAUAAAACUUUUUCUCACAUUAUGAAAAAAAAAAAAAAAAAAAAAA
rnacentral:lncRNA from 1 species